GAGAGCAGAAGGAAGGAAGGAAGGAAGGAAGAAAGGAAGGAAGGAAGGGCCUUACCGAAGAGGCUGUGGUCUUGCCUAGUGCCUUGAACGCUGCCGUCGGGCAGGAUCUGCAGGUGGAAGCCAGUCCUGCAAUACAGCUGUCUUCGGCGUAGGAUGCCUUGCAGGAUGCCGUCGCUCGCUCCCCUCCGCCAGGCUCCUUUUUGAUGUUGAAGCUUCUCGCCGCGGAUGAAUCGUGAGCAGCAGCAGCAGCAGCAGCAGGAGCCCCGUUUGGUAAAGGUGGGGGGGGGAGGACCCUGGAAGCUUGCCGCGUAUUACGUGGACAGGUGCAGGGAAAGGGACUCAGAGCUGAAUGCAUACAUGCUACUUAAAGGGGAAUUCUAAGCCUGUUUACUUAGAGGUAAGUCUCAGGAAGCUCAAGAGCUUAUUAUUAAGACUCCAGCCCAUUGCAUUUCAUAGCAAAAAAGAUAAUGAUAAAAUCUUCAAAUUAAACUUGACUCUUGCUGUCUUCAUGCACAGAAACAGGAAGCUUUCUUGGCAAAAGCACAGAAGCGGUCUGUCUUUGCCUCCUUUUGAAUGUGUUUUUUACUUCCCAGUCUAGCCUCAUAUGGGCAUCCGCCUAGAAAUUCAGUCUGAGGUAAGUAGUAUAAGACUGCAGUAUAUCUUCACUUUUGCUGUGAUGUAUUAAAUAUAAACAAACCAAUGAAGUAUCUUCUAAUUGCUUUCUUUCAUCAGAACUUUAAACUGCUGGUUUUUCUUUGAAAACAUGGAUUUGCCAUCUCAUUUCAACUAUCCUAUAGUUCUUGGGCAGUAAUGUUCCAUCUGGAGUAUAUUUUUAGACUAAGAUCUAUUAUUUUUUCCAUAAAGUACUAGAAAUGUGAAAAACAUUGGAAGAAAAUAGUUUGUGCUUCUAAAAUAUGUUUUCCUCUUAUAUGAACUCUUUGAUCUCUGUUAAAAAUUGGGAGGUGGUAUAAAAUGUAUACUUCUUAGUUUGCACCCUAUAUUAUAUGCAUUCUGGAUUUUAAAGAUCUCUAUGUAACCAUUAGAUGGAUAUUAUAGGACAUACUGUUUUGUAUUAUACUAUAAAAGAGCUCUAAUGAACUACAAAAAGAAAAAGAAAGAAAGAGUAAUCAAGUACUGGAAGAAGAAAGACAAUCUGAAAAUUUUGUUAAAGAUGCAUGUUUUAACAUGCAUGUUUAGAUAACUCAAACAGCAGUUUGGUGGAAGUGAUUAUGAUUUAUCAAGUGGGGUUGAAAUAAGUGUCAAUCUUUUGUUCCACAGUUGGCAAAAUUCCUGGCAAAAAUUACUCCAGUGAAAUUUCUUUUGGGGAAAAAUGCUUUAUUUUCCCCCAAAAUGCUUUAUGGUCUAUUUUAAGGAGGCAUAAGCAAUGGUGAUGAUAUGGAACAAGAAUUUUGCUGGAUUGGGGCAUAUGUCUGUUCAGCACUCGGAAUCACAGAGUGGCCAACUGGAUUACAAGCUUGGACUGUGCAGUCAAUAGCCCUCUUUCACUGCCACUUCCCAGGAGCCAAAAUAUUUUGCUUUUGAUUGGAAAAUAUCAAAGUAUUUUGCUUUUGAUUGGUGUGCAGCAACUGCAGCUGUCAUGUAGACCUAGUUUUGUCUUCCAAAAUACUUUCCAUCUCUGAUCUUUCUCUGAGUUCCAAAUUGAUAUCUUGCUGGGACCUCUAUGAUAGCAAUCACAUAGUUGGAAACUUGCAUCUUAUAACUCUCUUCUCUGUAAUUCUUUUCCUCUUCCAUGCCUCCAAAGCCUUUAAAUAUGUUUUAUUUAUUCAAGAACCACACGUCUACAAUAGUUGAAUACAAAAUAAUAUAGGGGAUAUAGAUAUACAGUAGAUAUAGAUAUAUGUUUAAUACUGAAUAAUUAUUUUCAAAUAAAUAAAAACUGAUUAUGAUUAUUAAGAAACAUCUUCUGCCACUUGCACUGGUCAGUGUGUUAAGGCCUCACACAACUCUAACCCUUAUAAUAGUCAAGCACUGUAACUAAAUAGCCAAGAGAGAUAGAUGGCUUUAGUGGUGGCUCCUCUAGAGCUGUGUCAGUAUCGCUGAAUGUGUCUACUUAGAAACAAGUUCCACCAAGAUAAGUGGAUUUCCUUCCAAGCAACUAUAUUUUGGAUCGCUGCUUUUGGCAACAUUUUGGCAUCAACUGAAAGCCUUUCUUUGGUCAUAUCUUUUAGAUAUUAGUUGAAUUUUUGCCCCAAGCUGAUACUGCUACUUACUAUUCUUUUAUGAUUUGUUUAAUUGUUUACCUCAAAUAUCAAUUCAUUUUGAAGAGAUUGUAAGCUGAAGAGCAGUGUAUCAAAUUACAGAAAUGAGAAAUCUUGGUUCUGAUAUUAAUAGAAUUUGAAAGCACUGUCCACUUAAGAUGAAAUUGACAAGGUUGCUAGACUUAUAUAUAGGCAAAUGAAAUUGAAUAGCAGAUGGUGUAAGAGGGAGAAUCUACUUAAUAAAUAGAAGUUAGAUUGCACACCAUAUUAUGAGGUUCUAACCAGGUUUAUUUAGAAAAUAUCACCUGUUUUUACUACUGAUUCGUUUUUUAAAAACAGAAAACUAUGAAUAUCUAUUGAAUUUUAAUUUAAUACAGCUAGAGUCUUGAGUUCAUUGAACCAUAUUAAUGAACACAUAGCUUGACUGUUAUGAAUGUAACACCCCAAUUAUAUUAAUAUGCUACUAUGUAUUCUCCCCACAUUCAUGCAUAGUAUAUUAUCUAAAUAACAUUCUCCCUGAAGAUAAUUCAGAAGGGAAAGAAUUACUCAAUGGGUUUAUACUUUUUGUUUAAAUUUCUAACAAUGAAAAAAAAAGCUAUAAAGCAAUAAAGUAGAACAAGGCAGUGUUUUUCUUUUUAUAAGUCUUCUUCCAUGUGUCACCAUGUAAAUCUGAGAGAUCAAAUGGAUUUGGCUGCUCUCCUUUUAUUUGCUGGAUAGAGUUUGGGGCUAAUUAAUUGGCAGGUGGCUUAAAGCAAGUAAUGAAACACCUUUUCAUCACAGCAGUCCUAAAUACUGCCCUAUGUGCACCUGAGUGAUUAAAAAAAAGAUUGUUGAAAGUAAGUGAUUUAUUAUGGAGGGAUUUAAAACCUCAAAAUGAAAAUAACAUUGAACACAAUGAUCAGAUAAAUCACUUCGAAAGGCAGAGAGAAAGCUGGCAGACUUCUUGGAAAAUGAUUGCAGAUAGACAUUACAUAAGUUUAGCUUUCAAACAACAACAGCUUGUCAUGUGGCUGGACCCAAAAAAUCCUCCAUAAUCAAGCUUUCAAAGCACAUCUGUGUAAACAUUAUCACAUCAGUGUAAAACAUCAACCAAUGAGCUUUUGCUUUGAACCAAAUCUUCUUAAUUGCAGGGCUAAAUCAAAGAACUAGAUCAAAGUUUAGAAUCUGUAGAUUAACCAAUUGUUCAGGUAGUUCACACAUUUCUGUCUUAAAAUGCCAGCAAUCAACUGUAUUUGAAACACAUAUUAAGUCUUCUUUUUUUAAUAUAUGGCACAGUGGGGGAAUCACACUGUAACUAAUGUAGCAGCCCAGCUCAAGACAUAGAUAACAUAACUUGAAGUAACAACCUAUAGCUAAGAAAGAAGUUAUUAUAUGCUAAACAGGAGGAAUUGCUACUACAAUCAGAAAGAAAGGUAGAUGUGAUCCAAUAUUGCCUAUUAGACAUGUACCUGUGAAUGAAGACGGGUGAAAACUACAGCUAAUACUCAUUAUUUUAUUUCAUUUAUAUGUUCCUUCUAUGGAAAACAGUAUUGCCAGAAAAUGUCCCAUUGAGACAAGAUCAUUAUGUAGUUUCAGUAAGGUGGUUCUACCAUAUUCAAUAAACAAAACUCAUACUAUUUAAAGUGAUAUGUCUGUACAUAUUAGUAAGAUAGCAAAUAACAUUUGGUCUAGUGCAGGGGUUCCCAACCAGGGGUGCUCGCACCCCCUGGGGGUGCGAGAUGAUAUUCCAGGGGAUGCAAAAACUUGAGUUUUCAAAAUUAUAGUGUAUAUGCAUAAUUUGUUGCUGUUAUUUUGAACUUUUGUAAGAGUUAUGAGAAUAUAUCAGAAGUGUUCUAGGGGUGUGGGGUAUAGAAAAGGUUGGGAACCACUGGUCUAGUGAUUUAUUUCUAAUGUACUAAUGUAUUCAAUGUUGGGGUCAGAGGACAAUUUGGAAAAAAAAGCAUAUAAAAUGUUCUGUUAGAAAUAAGAGUCCAUAAAUAUUUCAUAAAAUGAAUUCAUCCAGAAUCCUGCAAAGACAGAUUAUUAAAUGUUGUUAGAACAGGACCUUGAGAUGACUUUUAAUUAUUUUUGUGAUUAUGCUGCUCAUAUUUCCUAGUUAGCAGGAAAUGUGGAACAAUAUGUUGGCUUGCAAGAUAGUCUUUAGAUUAAAAAUCCUAUAUUUCAUUGACAUGCUUGGUGUAAAAUAAACUUUGGUUGCACUUGUGCCAAUAUCA